CGGCAGCACGGACUUCGGUCUGGUGGCGAGUGGCGAACGGGUGAGUAAUGUAUCGGAACGUGCCUAGUAGCGGGGGAUAACUACGCGAAAGCGUAGCUAAUACCGCAUACGCCCUACGGGGGAAAGCAGGGGAUCGCAAGACCUUGCACUAUUAGAGCGGCCGAUAUCGGAUUAGCUAGUUGGUGGGGUAACGGCUCACCAAGGCGACGAUCCGUAGCUGGUUUGAGAGGACGACCAGCCACACUGGGACUGAGACACGGCCCAGACUCCUACGGGAGGCAGCAGUGGGGAAUUUUGGACAAUGGGGGAAACCCUGAUCCAGCCAUCCCGCGUGUGCGAUGAAGGCCUUCGGGUUGUAAAGCACUUUUGGCAGGAAAGAAACGUCCCGGGCUAAUACCCUGGGAAACUGACGGUACCUGCAGAAUAAGCACCGGCUAACUACGUGCCAGCAGCCGCGGUAAUACGUAGGGUGCAAGCGUUAAUCGGAAUUACUGGGCGUAAAGCGUGCGCAGGCGGUUCGGAAAGAAAGAUGUGAAAUCCCAGAGCUUAACUUUGGAACUGCAUUUUUAACUACCGAGCUAGAGUGUGUCAGAGGGAGGUGGAAUUCCGCGUGUAGCAGUGAAAUGCGUA
rnacentral:rRNA from 1 species